AUUUGGGACGGUCAAUGUUGACUUUUGCUUAUAUGAAUGUUUUACAAUAAUAUAAUAUUGAUUGGCAUUAAAGAAAUUUUAUUAUAAAGCAUAUCCUUGGAAAUAUUUAUUUCAGAAAAUACAAACAUUGAAGAACAAGGGGUCCAGUCAGUAGCAGAGCCAGGUGAGACUCCAACUUCUGUGAAGGAGGUUUUGACAACAUCACAGCCAGUUGGGAGUUCAGAGCUGAAGGAGAAG
rnacentral:lncRNA from 1 species